rnacentral:rRNA from 1 species
UACGUAGGCGGCGCUAUCAGUCGGGUGUGAAAGCCCUCGGCUCAACCGAGGAACUGCGCCCGAUACUGUAGUGCUUGAGGGAGACAGAGGUAAGCGGAACUGAUGGUGGAGCGGUGAAAUGCGUUGAUAUCAUCAGGAACACCGGUGGCGAAAGCGGCUUACUGGGUCUCUUCUGACGCUGAGGUACGAAAGCUAGGGGAGGCGAACG